rnacentral:rRNA from 1 species
GCAAGUCGAGCGAGAAAGUUCUUCGGAACGAGUACAGCGGCGGACGGGUGAGUAAUGCAUAGGAAUCUACCCAGUAGCGGGGGACAACCUGGUGAAAACCAGGCUAAUACCGCAUACGCCCUACGGGGGAAAGCAGGGGAUCUUCGGACCUUGCACUAUUGGAUGAGCCUAUGUCAGAUUAGCUUGUUGGUGAGGUAAUGGCUCACCAAGGCGACGAUCUGUAGCUGGUUUGAGAGGAUGAUC